UACGGGGGGAGCAAGCGUUGUUCGGAUUUACUGGGCGUAAAGGGCGCGUAGGCGGUCAGCACAAGUCAGUUGUGAAAUCUCCGGGCUUAACUCGGAAAGGUCAACUGAUACUGUGCGACUAGAGUGCAGAAGGGGCAACUGGAAUUCUCGGUGUAGCGGUGAAAUGCGUAGAUAUCGAGAGGAACACCUGCGGCGAAGGCGGGUUGCUGGGCUGACACUGACGCUGAUGCGCGAAAGCGUGGGGAGCAAGCAGG
rnacentral:rRNA from 1 species